CAGCAGCCGCGGUAAUACAGAGGUCUCAAGCGUUGUUCGGAUUCAUUGGGCGUAAAGGGUGCGCAGGCGGCUGGGUAAGUCAGGUGUGAAAUCUCGGGGCUCAACCCCGAAACUGCACUUGAUACUGCCCGGCUAGAGGACUGGAGAGGUGAUUGGAAUUCACGGUGUAGCAGUGAAAUGCGUAGAUAUCGUGAGGAAGGCCAAAGGCGAAGGCAGAUCACUGGACAGUUCCUGACGCUCAGGCACGAAGGCCAGGGGAGCAAACGGGAUUAGAUACCCCGGUAGUCCUGGCAGUAAACGGUGCGCGUUUGGUGUGGGAGGAUUCGACCCCUUCCGUGCCGGAGCUAACGUGUUAAACGCGCCGCCUGGGGAGUACGGUCGCAAGAUUAAAACUCAAAGAAAUUGACGG
rnacentral:rRNA from 1 species